ACAGAGGGCCCGAGCGUUAGUCGGAAUUACUGGGCUUAAAGGGUGCGCAGGCGGAUCGGCAGGCAUCUUGUGAGAUCCCCCGGCUCAACCGGGGAACAGCGGGGCGAACUUCGGGUCUUGAGGCAGGUAGGGGCGGAUGGAACUGUCGGUGGAGCGGUGGAAUGCGUAGAUAUCGACAGGAACGCCGAUGGCGAAGGCAGUCCGCUGGGCCUGUCCUGACGCUCAGGCACGAAAGCGUGGGGAGCAAACAG
rnacentral:rRNA from 1 species